GUUUAAGUAGUUUAACAUCCCAAAGCAUCAGUCUUGUAAACUGACGAUGGGGGUUAGCCACCCCCCUUAAACU
rnacentral:tRNA from 1 species